rnacentral:rRNA from 1 species
AUUGAACGCUGGCGGCAUGCCUUACACAUGCAAGUCGAACGGCAGCACGGGUGCUUGCACCUGGUGGCGAGUGGCGAACGGGUGAGUAAUACAUCGGAACAUGUCCUGUAGUGGGGGAUAGCCCGGAGAAAGCCGGAUUAAUACCGCAUACGAACCACGGAUGAAAGCGGGGGACCUUCGGGCCUCGCGCUAUAGGGUUGGCCGAUGGCUGAUUAGCUAGUUGGUGGGGUAAAGGCCUACCAAGGCGACGAUCAGUAGCUGGUCUGAGAGGACGACCAGCCACACUGGGACUGAGACACGGCCCAGACUCCUACGGGAGGCAGCAGUGGGGAAUUUUGGACAAUGGGCGAAAGCCUGAUCCAGCAAUGCCGCGUGUGUGAAGAAGGCCUUCGGGUUGUAAAGCACUUUUGUCCGGAAAGAAAUCCUUGACUCUAAUACAGUCGGGGGAUGACGGUACCGGAAGAAUAAGCACCGGCUAACUACGUG